AGCAGCGUGGCCUACUUUGAUAAAGCAUGGGUCUAGGAUCCCAAGGACCUGGGUUCUAUUCCUGGCUCUGCUA
rnacentral:tRNA from 1 species